rnacentral:rRNA from 1 species
GCAUGUGCGCGAGUCAUUGGGACUCUGAUAAACCUAAAGGCGCAAUGAAAGUAAAGGUCCGCCUCGCGCGGACCGAGGGAGGAUGGGCCCGUCCACGGGCGGGCCCCGCACUCCCGGGGCGUCUCGUUCUCAUCGCGAGAAGAGGCGCACCCAGAGCGUACACGCUGGGACCCGAAAGAUGGUGAACUAUGCCUGGUCAGGACGAAGUCAGGGGAAACCCUGAUGGAGGUCCGUAGCGAUUCUGACGUGCAAAUCGAUCGUCGGAACUGGGUAUAGGGGCGAAAGACUAAUCGAA